rnacentral:rRNA from 1 species
UCUUAAUUAUGAUCCAUAAAAUAUAUUUAUUUAUAAAAUUAUAUUUUUUGGUAAAUAAUUUUAUUGGGGUGAUAAAAAAAUUUGAAUAACUUUUUAUGUAAACAUACAUAGAUUUAUGGUUAAAUGAUCUAGAAUUUUUAAUUGAAAGAAAAAGU